GGGUGACGAGCGGCGGACGGGUGAGUAAUGUCUGGGAAACUGCCUGAUGGAGGGGGAUAACUACUGGAAACGGUAGCUAAUACCGCAUAACGUCGCAAGACCAAAGAGGGGGACCUUCGGGCCUCUUGCCAUCAGAUGUGCCCAGAUGGGAUUAGCUAGUAGGUGGGGUAACGGCUCACCUAGGCGACGAUCCCUAGCUGGUCUGAGAGGAUGACCAGCCACACUGGAACUGAGACACGGUCCAGACUCCUACGGGAGGCAGCAGUGGGGAAUAUUGCACAAUGGGCGCAAGCCUGAUGCAGCCAUGCCGCGUGUAUGAAGAAGGCCUUCGGGUUGUAAAGUACUUUCAGCGGGGAGGAAGGCGAUAAGGUUAAUAACCUUGUCGAUUGACGUUACCCGCAGAAGAAGCACCGGCUAACUCCGUGCCAGCAGCCGCGGUAAUACGGAGGGUGCAAGCGUUAAUCGGAAUUACUGGGCGUAAAGCGCACGCAGGCGGUCUGUCAAGUCGGAUGUGAAAUCCCCGGGCUCAACCUGGGAACUGCAUUCGAAACUGGCAGGCUAGAGUCUUGUAGAGGGGGGUAGAAUUCCAGGUGUAGCGGUGAAAUGCGUAGAGAUCUGGAGGAAUACCGGUGGCGAAGGCGGCCCCCUGGACAAAGACUGACGCUCAGGUGCGAAAGCGUGGGGAGCAAACAGGAUUAGAUACCCUGGUAGUCCACGCCGUAAACGAUGUCGACUUGGAGGUUGUGCCCUUGAGGCGUGGCUUCCGGAGCUAACGCGUUAAGUCGACCGCCUGGGGAGUACGGCCGCAAGGUUAAAACUCAAAUGAAUUGACGGGGGCCCGCACAAGCGGUGGAGCAUGUGGUUUAAUUCGAUGCAACGCGAAGAACCUUACCUACUCUUGACAUCCAGAGAACUUAGCAGAGAUGCUUUGGUGCCUUCGGGAACUCUGAGACAGGUGCUGCAUGGCUGUCGUCAGCUCGUGUUGUGAAAUGUUGGGUUAAGUCCCGCAACGAGCGCAACCCUUAUCCUUUGUUGCCAGCGGUCCGGCCGGGAACUCAAAGGAGACUGCCAGUGAUAAACUGGAGGAAGGUGGGGAUGACGUCAAGUCAUCAUGGCCCUUACGAGUAGGGCUACACACGUGCUACAAUGGCGCAUACAAAGAGAAGCGACCUCGCGAGAGCAAGCGGACCUCAUAAAGUGCGUCGUAGUCCGGAUUGGAGUCUGCAACUCGACUCCAUGAAGUCGGAAUCGCUAGUAAUCGUAGAUCAGAAUGCUACGGUGAAUACGUUCCCGGGCCUUGUACACACCGCCCGUCACACCAUGGGAGUGGGUUGCAAAAGAAGUAGGUAGCUUAACCUUCGGGAGGGCGCUUACCACUUUGUGAUUCAUGACUGGGGUGAAGUCGUAACAAGGUAACCGUAGGGGAACCUGCGGUUGGAUCACCUCCUUACCUUAAAGAACCUGCCUUUG
rnacentral:rRNA from 2 species